GACGAACGCUGGCGGCAUGCCUAACACAUGCAAGUCGGACGGGAUCUUCGGGGAACGGUGCUUCCAGUGGAGGACGGGUGAGUAACGCGCAAGUACCUGCCCUUGGGCGGGGAACAACAGCUGGUAACGGCUGCUAAUACCUCGUAGGCUGAGGUGCAUCAGGAUGAAUCCGCCCGAGGAGGGGCUCGCGUCUGAUUAGCUAGUUGGGGCGGCAAUAGCUUACUAAGACGAUGAUCAGUAGCUGGUCCGAGAGGAGGAUCAGCCACACAGGGACUGAGACACGGGCCAGACUCCUAUGGGAGGCGGAGGUGUGGGGUAUUCCGCAAAGUGGGAAAGCGUGACGGAGAGAUAUCGCGUGGGGAUGAAGGACCCACGAGUCGUGAACAACUCUUCCCGGGGAGAAGACAAUGACGGUACCUGGAGAAGAAGCAUCGGCUAACUCUGUG
rnacentral:rRNA from 1 species